rfam:Cricetulus griseus cell line CHO-K1, whole genome shotgun sequence.
UUACCAGUCAGUCUCUGGCUAUAUUCCAGGACUCAGUAGAUCCUGGAUAUAGUCAGAGGCUGACUGUAAA